rnacentral:rRNA from 1 species
GACUCCGUGAAGCUGGAUUCGCUAGUAAUCGCGCAUCAGCCAUGGCGCGGUGAAUACGUUCCCGGGCCUUGUACACACCGCCCGUCAAGCCAUGGGAGCCGGGGGUGCUUGAAGUGCGUCGCCGCAAGGCGCGCCCUAGAGCAAAACCGGUGACUGGGGCUAAGUCGUAACAAGGUACC